rnacentral:rRNA from 1 species
AACGAACGCUGGCGGCAGGCUUAACACAUGCAAGUCGAGCGCAUCCUUCGGGGUGAGCGGCGGACGGGUGAGUAACGCGUGGGAACGUGCCCUCUUCUACGGAAUAGCCCAGGGAAACUUGGAUUAAUGCCGUAUACGCCCGAAAGGGGAAAGAUUUAUCGGAGGAGGAUCGGCCCGCGUUGGAUUAGGUAGUUGGUGAGGUAACGGCUCACCAAGCCGACGAUCCAUAGCUGGUUUGAGAGGAUGAUCAGCCACACUGGGACUGAGACACGGCCCAGACUCCUACGGGAGGCAGCAGUGGGGAAUCUUGGACAAUGGGGGAAACCCUGAUCCAGCCAUGCCGCGUGAUCGAUGAAGGCCUUAGGGUUGUAAAGAUCUUUCAGCUGGGAAGAUAAUGACGGUACCAGCAGAAGAAGCCCCGGCUAACUCCGUGCCAGCAGCCGCCGUAAGAC